UAACAAGGUUUCCGUAGGUGAACCUGCGGAAGGAUCAUUAAU
rnacentral:rRNA from 1 species